CUGGAUAACCCUUUUCCACCACCCAUCACCCUUGAUCUCACUCUUUCAGGCUCCGACUUACAAAACCACAGAAACCUUCCAAGCUUUAUGCAUGAUUAUAGCACCAGUAACGACGACGGAAAUAAUAAGAAGAAGAAGAUCGAAGACUAUGUUGCAUCCUUAACAAAAGAUCCUAACUUCACUCUAGCUUUAGCUGCAGCGGUUGCUCGCUCCAUCAAAACUGAACACCCUAAACCAUCACCCCCGUGAACUUCAAAAACAAACUAAAACACUAUGGUAAUUUUUUUUUUUUUGGUGAAAAAGAGAGAAGAUAGAUAAUGGAGUGAAUAUCAAACACUUUUGUACUUUGUAUAUGCUUUGGUGCAAAUAUGAAC
rnacentral:lncRNA from 1 species